GUGCAAGCGCAGGCCUCCAAAGGGUUUGGGCUUCUUGCCCAACCGCCGCGCUUAUCUCCGAGUCUGCCCCCAGUCUGCCCUCUCGCAGGCCGAGAAAGGACCAGAACACGUUGGGACGAAGACAACCUCAGGGAGAGGGACAAAGAGGCAGAGACCGGGACGGAGACUGGGACGGAGGUAGAAACUGAGAAAGGGAGAGUGCCAGGGACGGCUUUGCAUCCUCUCCGCUGCUCCCAUGCCCUCCAGUCCUGCCAAAAGGGAGGAGGAAAGGUCGAGCCCUAAUCCCCCAGGGCACCUCUCCCACGCCCGGAAGGGUGGCUGGACCCUGGCAACCAGUUUAGUGUGGGGACGGAAGCUGGACAUCCAGAAUUGAGACUUGG
rnacentral:lncRNA from 1 species